CCUCCAGUGGAAAGCCCUAUGAUCAAACUGUUUAAUUAGAGAGGGAAUGUGGCCUGUUCUGAUCGCCAUAUGUGGUUUUCUGGGACAUAUUCCUUCCAAUUGAUCAAAUAGUACUGUUAUUGCUUCUUUCUUUGAUCCACAACUGGAUGUCCAAUAUACUUUUUUUUUUUUGCUUCUAACUGUUCCUGUUAAAAUUUAGAGGAAUAUAAUUAAUUUAUGGUAUAAGGCAUGGAAGAUUGGAUGAUUUUUUCCUCUAGAUUCAAAGUAAUAUUAACUCAUGGGACUUGGUUAAUGUGGACAGAAAUCUAUCAUUUAGAAUGUCAGAAGACUUAUGUAUAGAAAUGAUGACUUGCCAAUAGAAGGAGCUGUAACUACUUGUAACUGUACCAGGAAAAAAACAACAACCAAACAACCUAUGUCACCUUGGGUGAGGAAAAAUGACUCACCUAAGGACAUAUGGAUACAGAGGCUUCAGAAGCAGGAUUUAAACCAAGUUUCAUUAAACUGAGAAUGAGUGUUUUUUCUUCUGUGCCUCACUGACUCCACA
rnacentral:lncRNA from 1 species